rnacentral:rRNA from 1 species
AGAUGGCGACCGGCGCACGGGUGAGUAACACGUAUCCAACCUGCCGAUAACUCGGGGAUAGCCUUUCGAAAGAAAGAUUAAUACCCGAUGGCAUAAUAGAACCGCAUGUUUGAUUAUUAAAGAAUUUCGGUUAUCGAUGGGGAUGCGUUCCAUUAGGCAGUUGGUGGGGUAACGGCCCACCAAACCUUCGAUGGAUAGGGGUUCUGAGAGGAAGGUCCCCCACAUUGGAACUGAGACACGGUCCAA